rnacentral:rRNA from 1 species
GAUUUCUGGUGUGCUGAACCUGGCCCGCUCCGGUUACGGUAGUGUGUGCCGGGACUUCAGUCGCCAUCCUUGCAGAGAACGUUGCUACCCUUCACUGGGCCGGUAACGCAAUCUGCAUCUUUUACUUUGAAAAAAUUAGAGUGUUUCAAGCAGGCUUUAUGCUAUGAAUACAUUAGCAUGGAAUAAUAAUUUAGGACUUCGGUUCUAUUUUGUUGGUUUCUAGGACUGAAGUAAUGAUUGAUAGGGAUAGUUGGGGGUGCUAGUAUUCAGCGGCCAGAGGUGAAAUUCUCGGAUUCGCUGAAGACUAACUUAUGCGAAAGCAUU